UACAGAGGUCCCAAGCGUUGUUCGGAUUCAUUGGGCGUAAAGGGUGCGUAGGCGGUUGCCUAAGUCAGGUGUGAAAUCUCGAGGCUCAACCUCGAAACUGCACUUGAUACUGGGUGACUUGAGUACUGGAGGGGAGACUGGAAUUUACGGUGUAGCAGUGAAAUGCGUAGAUAUCGUAAGGAAGACCAGUGGCGAAGGCGAGUCUCUGGACAGUUACUGACGCUGAGGCACGAAGGCUAGGGGAGCAAACAGG
rnacentral:rRNA from 1 species